AAGGCUUCAGUACGACCCAGUCAGAACUAUAAGUCUCAAAGCCCCGACGAGUAGGGUGGCGUGCCGGUGCGCGUUGAAGGCCAAGACGUGAGUCAGGCUGGAGCCGCCGGUAGUGCAGAUCUUGGUGGUAGUAGCAAGUACUCUGGUGAACCAACCUGGAGCUGUGAGGUCUGGAUUAGGGUUCCAUGUCAACAGUGAUUGAACAUGGGUGAGUCGAUCCUAAGCCAACUGUGAAAGCAGUGACAUCCCGACAAAGGGGCACUACAUGUGAUGCACUUACACCCCCAAAGCAAAGCUCUCGUAUUGCUCUCUCUCUUUCUCUCAAACAAAGUUCUCUCUCAACAGGAUAUGGUGUCUGGGUAUGGAAUAUAAGCGCACACACGGUGAUCACUACGGAGUGUGAGUGUGUGCGCGUUGGUCUGGUUACGCUCAAAAGCGUUGUUGCUCUCUGAUAUGAUGUGAUGAAGCAUACAACGAGAGAGAGAGAAACGGAGUGGGUGAGCGUGAGUGCAAAUUAUCUCAUGAGCACCCUGCGUCUGGUUCUAUGUCUGGCGAAAGGGAAUGGGGACUUUGUUCCUUGACCGGUCCUGGCACCCUCGAUUGGCUUUGCCAAUUAAUGGUCCAUGCAAAUGGAACCAGGCCACAGCCGUCGGCAGUCGCCCGAGGAAGAGUUUUCUUUUCUGCUUAACGCACGAGGUCAUCCCUGGAAACAGUUCGGCUGGCGAAAGGGUGCCCCGCUGCGGCAGAGCGCCACGACUGUCGUGCGCGUCUCGGUGUUCCUGCUGAUCCAUGAAGACGUGGUCGAGGGGAUUGCUCUUGUAUCAACGAAACGCCCGACAAGUUCGGGACGGACCGUACCCUAUAUCCGCAUCUGGUCUCCAAGGUUCGUAGCCUCUGCAGAGUCAGACACAUGUAGGUAAGGGAAGUCGGCAAACUCGAUCCGUAACUUCGGGAAAAGGAUUGUCUCUGAGGGCCGAGCUGGGCCGGGCCUUGCCUGCAAAGCAGUACCUAUAGUGACC
rnacentral:rRNA from 1 species